rnacentral:rRNA from 1 species
UACAGAGGGUGCUAGCGUUGUUCGGAAUCAUUGGGCGUAAAGGGCGUGUAGGCGGUUUGCUAAGUCAUGUGUGAAAUCCCUCGGCUUAACCGGGGAACGACGCAUGAAACUGGCAAGCUAGAGUACCAAAGAGGGGGGUGGAAUUCCCGGUGUAGCGGUGAAAUGCGUAGAUAUCGUAAGGAAGACCAGUGGCGAAGGCGAGUCUCUGGACAGCAACUGACGCUGAGGCACGAAGGCCAGGGGAGCAAACGGG